GGCCUAAUGGUCUAGUAGUAUGAUUCUCGCUUUGGGUUUUACUCGCUCAUCGUAGAUCUUUGCGAGAGGUCCUGGGUUCAAUUCCCAGUUGGGCCC